AUGAAUAAAAUCAUUAAUAAUGUACUGCUUCUAUUCUGAGAAUAGACCUAGGAAUUGCAAACGUUCAAGUAAAACAAUCAAACUUAGCAAUUGUAAAAAUAUAGUAAUAGUUUGAUUUCAAAAACACUAUGACCGUGUUUAGGCUACAUAAUGACGCUAGCGUUAGCAUUUCGUUAAAAAUAUACUACGUUUCUUAAACCGGUCAAACGAGGGUUGAUGAGAGUUUGGCGGUCACGAAUUGUUACAUUUGAAACUCUAGAUUAACAAAAUAAACGUUCCAACCAAAAAACGUUUCCAAAUAAAUGUCGAUAAGUGUUCCAACUAGCAUUAAGAAAAGCUAACUAUAAGGUCGCGUGAUUCCAACUCUCAUGUCUGCACUCUCAUCCCCAUAGUAUUGUGUUUACACGUACAAUAACGGAGUGGUUUGUGGUAGCGUAACAACUACCGACCACCACGUUUGCUACUGCGGACGCAAAUCGAUGCGCUCCGAUAAAUUUGCCGUAGCCGUCAUAGUGUAAAUACUGUUUUUCACUUCAAGCGUAGCGUACCGAAACGUGUCAGAAAAAUUUAGUGAAAGUUGAUUAUUUAAUACUUCU